GAGUUUGAUCAUGGCUCAGAACGAACGCUAGCGGUGUGGAUUAGGCAUGCAAGUCGUGCGCGAAAGUCUUCGGACGAGUAAAGCGGCGAAAGGGUGAGUAACACGUAACCAACGUACCCCUCAGAUCGGAAUAACCUCUGGAAACGGUGGGUAAUGCCGAAUGGUCCGCCAGCAGGCAUCUGCUGGACGGUAAACGGUGGCUUCGGCUGCUGUUGAGGGAGCGGGUUGCGGCCUAUCAGCUUGUUGGUGGGGUAACGGCCUACCAAGGCGAUGACGGGUAGCGGGUCUGAGAGGAUGAUCCGUCACACUGGGACUGAGACACUGCCCAGACUCCUACGGGAGGCUGCAGUCGAGAAUCUUCCACAAUGGACGAAAGUCUGAUGGAGCGACACCGCGUGCAGGAUGAAGGCCCUAGGGUUGUAAACUGCUGUCACGCUAUAGGAACCCACGGUGGUGAAUAGUCAUCGUGCUGACUAAAGCGAAAGGAAGCGCCGGCUAACUCCGUGCCAGCAGCCGCGGUAAUACGGAGGGCGCAAGCGUUGUUCGGAUUCACUGGGCAUAAAGAGCACGUAGGCGGUCUGCUCAGUCGGGUGUGAAAGCCCACGGCCCAACCGUGGAACUGCACCCGAUACUGGUAGACUCGAGGACGGAAGGGGUGAGUGGAACUCCAGGUGGAACGGUGAAAUGUAUAGAUAUCUGGAGGAACACCGGUGGCGAAAGCGGCUCACUGGUCCGUCUCUGACGCUGAGGUGCGAAAGCUAGGGUAG
rnacentral:rRNA from 1 species